rnacentral:rRNA from 1 species
GACGAACGCUGGCGGCGUGCUUAACACAUGCAAGUCGAACGGAAAGGCCCUGCUUUUGUGGGGUGCUCGAGUGGCGAACGGGUGAGUAACACGUGAGUAACCUGCCCUUGACUUUGGGAUAACUUCAGGAAACUGGGGCUAAUACCGGAUAGGAGCUCCUGCUGCAUGGUGGGGGUUGGAAAGUUUCGGCGGUUGGGGUUGGACUCGCGGCUUAUCAGCUUGUUGGUGGGGUAGUGGCUUACCAAGGCUUUGACGGGUAGCCGGCCUGAGAGGGUGACCGGCCACAUUGGGCCUGAGAUACGGCCCAGACUCCUACGGGAGGCAGCAGUGGGGAAUAUUGCACAAUGGGCGGAAGCCUGAUGCAGCAACGCCGCGUGCGGGAUGACGGCCGUCGGGUUGUAAACCGCUUUCGCCUGUGACGAAGCGUGUGUGACGGUAAUGGGUAAAGAAGCACCGGCUAACUACGUG